rnacentral:pre_miRNA from 1 species
UAUUAGGUUGGUGCAAAAGUAAUCGUGGUUUUUGCCAUGUUAAAAGAUGGCAAAAACCACGAUUACUUUUACAUCAACCUAAUA